rnacentral:rRNA from 1 species
UUAUUAUAAAUUAAAAUUAAAAAACUAUAGUAGUAUUUGUUAUGUUCUUGAAAUUAAAAAAAUUUGGCGGUAUUUUAGUCUAUUCAGAGGAACCUGUUUCAUAAUCGAUAAUCCACGAUGGACCUUACUUAAUUUUAUAAAGUUUAUAUACCGUCGUUAUAAAUAUUUUAAAAGAAUUAUAAAUUUUUAAAAAUUAUUAUAAUAUAAUAUAUCAGAUCAAGGUUUAGCUAAUAAUUAAGAGAAAAAUGGGUUACAAUAAAUUUAUUUAAAUGGAAUAAAUAAUGAAAUAUAUUUAUGAAAUUGGAUUUGAUAGUAAAAUUAUAUAGAUUAAUAAUUUGAUUUUAGCUCUAAAAUAUGUACAUAUCGCCCGUCACUCUUAUUUAUAAAUAAGAUAAGUCGUAACAUAGUAGAUGUACUGGAAAGUGUAUCUAGAAUG